AGAGUUUGAUCAUGGCUCAGGAUGAACGCUGGCGGCGUGCCUAACACAUGCAAGUCGAACGAAGCACAGUUACUGAUUUCCUUCGGGGAUGAUUUAGCUGUGACUGAGUGGCGGACGGGUGAGUAACGCGUGGGCAACCUGCCCUGUACAGGGGGAUAACAGCCGGAAACGGCUGCUAAUACCGCAUAAGCGCACAGCGCCGCAUGGCGCAGUGUGAAAAACUCCGGUGGUACAGGAUGGGCCCGCGUCUGAUUAGCUGGUUGGCGGGGCAGCGGCCCACCAAGGCGACGAUCAGUAGCCGGCCUGAGAGGGCGACCGGCCACAUUGGGACUGAGACACGGCCCAGACUCCUACGGGAGGCAGCAGUGGGGAAUAUUGCACAAUGGGGGAAACCCUGAUGCAGCGACGCCGCGUGAGCGAAGAAGUAUUUCGGUAUGUAAAGCUCUAUCAGCAGGGAAGAAAAUGACGGUACCUGACUAAGAAGCUCCGGCUAAAUACGUGCCAGCAGCCGCGGUAAUACGUAUGGAGCAAGCGUUAUCCGGAUUUACUGGGUGUAAAGGGAGCGCAGGCGGCGCGGCAAGUCUGAUGUGAAAACCCGGGGCCCAACCCCGGGACUGCAUUGGAAACUGCCGAGCUAGAGUGUCGGAGGGGUAAGUGGAAUUCCAUGUGUAGCGGUGAAAUGCGUAGAUAUAUGGAGGAACACCGGUGGCGAAGGCGGCUUACUGGACGACAACUGAUGCUGAGGCUCGAAAGCGUGGGAGCAAACAGGAUUAGAUACCCUGGUAGUCCACGCCGUAAAC
rnacentral:rRNA from 1 species